AAAAGCAAUAAAAAACAAACAAGAGAAAACCAAGGAGAAGCACGGAACAUUGCUUUUCUUUCCCCUUUGUUCGUUUCUAUGCCUUUCUUUA
rnacentral:ribozyme from 1 species